GUUAGCAAAAAUGAUGGUUCUUAGUGGUCGGGGUGCUUUCCAGCYCCCAWGUWGAUAGCYCACUCGUGCCUCCUCAACYAAGACACAGGGCUAAGSCAAGAUGAUGAUCCCAAGCCGUCUGGCGAUCUAGACAAAACAAGUCCACCGUGGGCUUUGAAAAACGCUUUCCUUGAUAAAAUUAUAGCGUKUUAUAAGAGGAUGCCGGGGAAGGUUUUCCGGUUUAUCCCGGAGGGCUUG
rnacentral:misc_RNA from 1 species